rnacentral:rRNA from 1 species
UACGGGGGGGGCAAGCGUUGUUCGGAAUUACUGGGCGUAAAGGGCUCGUAGGCGGCCAACUCAGUCGGACGUGAAAUCCCUCGGCUUAACCGGGGAACGGCGUCCGAUACUGGAUGGCUUGAGUCCGAGAGAGGGAUGCGGAAUUCCAGGUGUAGCGGUGAAAUGCGUAGAUAUCUGGAGGAACACCGGUGGCGAAGGCGGCAUCCUGGAUUGGUACUGACGCUGAGGAGCGAAAGCCAGGGGAGCAAACGGG